rnacentral:rRNA from 1 species
GAUGAACGCUAGCGACAGGCUUAACACAUGCAAGUCGAGGGGCAGCACAGGUAGCAAUACCGGGUGGCGACCGGCGCACGGGUGAGUAACGCGUAUGCAACUUACCUAUCAGAGGGGGAUAACCCGGCGAAAGUCGGACUAAUACCGCAUGAAGCAGGGGUCCCGCAUGGGGAUAUUUGCUAAAGAUUCAUCGCUGAUAGAUAGGCCUGCGUUCCAUUAGGCAGUUGGCGGGGUAGCGGCCCACCAAACCGCCGAUGGAUAGGGGUUCUGAGAGGAACGUCCCUGACAUGGGUACUGAGACACGGACCAAACUCCUACGGGAGGCAGCAGUGAGGAAUAUUGGUCAAUGGCCGAGAGGCUGAACCAGCCAAGUCGCGUGAGGGAUGAAGGUUCUAUGGAUCGUAAACCUCUUUUAUAAGGGAAUAAAGUGCGGGACGUGUCCCGUUUUGUAUGUACCUUAUGAAUAAGGAUCGGCUAACUCCGUG